UGAGACAGAAUAUUUAUUGCUUUAUUAUAGCUUUGCAUUAUAUUCAAUGAAAGACAGAAAAGGUGGAAACUAGGUGGCAACUAGUGGAAAAUGGCUGUACUAGCUGAAUCUGAAAAGAUCAUUUUUAAAUGUGUCUGCAGUUUAUUAUUUCUGCAUGAGAGAAAGUUGGUUAAAGAUAAGAUUAAUGAUAGAUCAAGUUACAAGCUCCCACACAAAUGUAUAGAAACAACCCCAGGUGGAAUUUGGGUCAGUUAAGAUUUAUAUAUGCAGGCAAACAUCAGAUCAGAUGCAAAGAAAUAGUUCUUGCCUAUUCUCUUCAUUAAUUGAAAAAAAAAGAAGUGUUUAUAAAAAGGAUGUUUUUACAAUAGCUUUUCAACUUAAGGAUUUGACACCUUCUUUAGCUGACCAAGAAAGUGUAUGUGUGGAAUCAAUUUAUCUGUGUAGUAAUACCAAAUUUUGAAAUCUGGCAUUUGAUGAGUCAGCCUGGGAGAAACUGGAAACACAUUUUGAGAGGUAACAAUAUUAUACUGUUUUUUUUUUUUUUUUAAUUAUUACUGUCUUUAACAUUGUCUUAAUUACUCUUAACAAAUACUUGAAUUUGAAACAACAUUUACCAAACUGCUUUGAAUUAAAGUCAAAAAAUCUCCUUCUAUGUCUUAGGAAGUUUGGCAGAUGGAUAAAUCCCAGAUAUAUUUUCUGGAAUAUAGCUCAAUCAUGUUUAUAACACUGUUUGUAAAAUUGUAUCAUUUUGUAAUUAUUUACAUUAUUGAUUAGCACUUAGGAUACAAUAUGUACUUUAAACUGUUCAUACCAGGUACCUUCUGUGAAAAAAGUGCAACUUUGUGACAUGAUAUGCCUGCCUGACUGUAUAUACCUGAGUAGCACACAGCUUAUUACUGCAUAAAAGAAACAUAUCAAGAUAAUUUUGAAUCAGAUUGUGUGCUGGAAAAAUGGCCUUACAUCCAAAGGAGUGAAAUUUGGAGAGUCAUUCGCCAUCUACUUAAGCCAUCCUGGAAUAUGAAAAAAUAAGACUGCACUGACAACAUCCUGAUCCUCGUGUUCAGAUCUUUUGUGAUUUCUUGUGAAGAGUCUUUGAUUUUUCAUAAAAAUAAAAAAUAUAUUAAUAUAAUUUGA